AUUGAACGCUGGCGGCAGGCCUAACACAUGCAAGUCGAGCGGGGGAAGGUAGCUUGCUACCGGACCUAGCGGCGGACGGGUGAGCAAUGCUUAGGAAUCUGCCUAUUAGUGGGGGACAACAUCUCGAAAGGGAUGCUAAUACCGCAUACGUCCUACGGGAGAAAGCAGGGGAUCUUUGGACCUUGCGCUAAUAGAUGAGCCUAAGUCGGAUUAGCUAGUUGGUGGGGUAAAGGCCUACCAAGGCGACGAUCUGUAGCGGGUCUGAGAGGAUGAUCCGCCACACUGGGACUGAGACACGGCUCAGACUCCUACGGGAGGCAGCAGUGGGGAAUAUUGGACAAUGGGGGGAACCCUGAUCCAGCCAUGCCGCGUGUGUGAAGAAGGCCUUAUGGUUGUAAAGCACUUUAAGCGAGGAGGAGGCUACUUUAGUUAAUACCUAGAGAUAGUGGACGUUACUCGCAGAAUAAGCACCGGCUAACUCUGUGCCAGCAGCCGCCGUAA
rnacentral:rRNA from 1 species